GAAGUCCACUUAAUUCAUAAAGUAAUGAUACGAAAAACACUGUGUAAUAACCCGAAGCCCCGAUAAAUAUCAUCGUCUCGCGAACUAUCACACGAGAGCACAAAUAACUGCUUGAAGCAAAAACAUUUAAGAACGAAGUAUCGAUGCUCUAUAAUACCAAGAAUCUAUAAGAGAAUUCCACAAAUCGGUCGCAGUGUACUGCGAUACUUCACAACGACAGGAGCGAGGAACAAAGAAGAAACAGAAACGUGUCCGCGUGGAGGCCGUCGCAUUACGGAAAGACAAUGAAAAGAAAAUGCCGCGGAGUUCUUGUUAAGCCGAGCUAUUAUCGUUAAUUAAAUAGCGCCUUCGCUAUCUCGGCUCACGUCCCGUCGCCGUGCCCGUGGCAUUAAGCCCGUAUGACACCGUAAAGACUUUAAGUCGCUGCUCGUUAUCGGAGGAAUGACAGACGCGUCCGUGCGCCAAGGAAAGGACAGGGCUGCGAUCUCCAUUCCGGAGCCAUCGUGUUAUCCGCGAUCGCUAAACCGUUCACGAAAAGGAAAUAAAGAGCAGCGUAAUGUGUCUGCCAGGAUAUCUACAUCUACUUGCUUAGACUCCGUGAACAGUUUUAAGUGGAUUUUUUUAACAAUUUUUGUUACGUAAGUGGUCUAUAUUUGUAUAUCGUAUGUGCGAUAUUUAUGCAAAUUCGUACUUCUGCAGACGUAACUGAAGAAAGAUAGAAUCUAAGCAGAGAAUUGUUGAGAUAUUAAAAUGAAUACUGAUUAUACUUUGGAUAUUUCAUAUGCGCGUUGGCAUGUUUGAUACGUUUUGCAGCUUUAAAAUUUUGUAAUUCUAUUAAAUGCAAUGCGUGUUUCCCGGAAAUGUUAAUAUGCUGCCAAAUGUCUGACCGUGAAAUCCUUUUCUACUUAAUAGGACAUUCAUGAAUUCUUCUGAGUCGUGGAAAUGAUGCAAAAACAAGAUCGAAAAAAUUGUUGUUUUUUCUUUAAUAGAUAUUUUUCUAAAAUAUUAUUUGUUGUAUAAAAAUUAUGUAAUUAAAUGGGAAGUGAUAUUAUUACAUAAUAAUACUAGUAUGAUAUCUAGGAAAUAAGAUAGAAUGAUAAAGAGUAUAUUGCUAAACUCUGGUAACGAUAAACCGGUAGUAUUGAAAUAAUAAAUAUAGAAAGUUUAUUAAAACGGCUCGAUUUAGAUGCAAUUCUAGGAUUUUUGAAAAUAUUGCACAGUUCCUGCAUGGAAGCAAGAGUAAAUAUGUCUUUAUCUAUCAAAUGUUUGAACUAGAUGUUCUAUGCAUAUAUUCUUACACAAGAGAUUACAUAUUAAAGUCUUCAAUCAGUAUUUUAACGUCAUUCUACGCAAAGUGCAAUAGACAUCUACAUGUUGUUUAUACUGAACGCUUUUGCUACAAUUUCCAAGAUUCAAAUUCCCUUGUACGUAUUUCAUUAUAUAUUUCAUACAUUAUACAUAAUUCCGUUUGUACAUAUUCAUUCGUAUAAAAAGCAAACAAGAAUAUGACUAAUUUACACGAAGAUAAAAAAAUAAUUGCUGGAGGAAAUAAAAAUAUUGAUCAACAUAGUGAAUAUUAAUUACUUGAUUAUUGAAAAGUCUGACAAAAAAUUAACGUAAUUGAUUUUUAAAGCGAAGGAAAGACCUGCUA